rnacentral:lncRNA from 1 species
AUUGAUACUUUAAAUGUUAAUUAUGUUAUCCAUUUUGAAAUGGUGGUGAAUGUUAUGAUUAUUUUAUAUUUACAUACGAACUUACUAAGCUUUAUAGCAUACUUUGUUUAAUUUUUGAUGUUUUAUAGUUUUAUGAAGCUAGCUCGGAUCCGUGGAUUGUUAGAGGCUUCAUCGCACUAUCGGACAUCUAUUUGGUACUUUUGAGUUGUGUAAU